UAACAUUUGAAAAAGGCAAGGAAUGAAAGAAAAAAAUAAUUUGACACAUAAGGUGACUAUACAGUCGGUGCUAGAGGAAAAUAAAACACAAAAGUAUUCUUAAUAAUGAAGACAACUUUAACUGUAAGAGUAACACACUUGAGCGCUUUAAGGAGUAAGGAGAUUUGCUUAUUUGUAGUGGAGUUUCAUAGACUCUAAGGGCAGAAACACAUCUGGCAUUGUGAAGGAGCUAUGAGGCUACUGAUAAGUGCGUUCACUUAGUCUUACAUUCUAGCUGUUGCAGUUAAAGCAUCCGUCACUUCUCCUUAUGUACAAACCCCUCUAUAGCUCCUGAGUUUACACAUUACAGAUUCUGUCACUCUUAGUGAAUAACAGAUCAACAGUCCUUGUCCUCAGUUGUAAUUCAAGGAGAUGAUAUUAGAUUGCUCCAUUUAGUCUAAUGACCUGUCAAUUGGAUAACCAUAUGAGGGGUGCACCUGGCAGCCACCACUGUUUUAAGUACAGCACAUGUUCACAAGAUAAGAUCUUGCUAGCUCAUUUUCUGGGCAGACUCUAUGAUGCAUUCACUGUAUCUCCAUAAUGAGUCUACUGCACAGCUGCUAAUCCUGCAAACAUUAGAGCAAUGCUUGACCUUCAGAAGAAGUAGAAUGAUGUCUGUUUGGGCUUCCAGUUUUGGACAAACCAGGCUGUCCUGCAUAUGCUCAGGAGUCCAGGAGUCAUGGUGGUUCCUUCCUGAGAGUGGUUACUAGGUUACAGACAUUUAUAAAAGUCCUCAUCUUGUCCUGUGCACUGAAAUCUAGCUAUUUUUUCCUUACAGCCAUCAUGCAGAUGUACACAAGCAGGUGGAAGACUAUAGUACUGAGGGUAAUUCAAUUCAAGAUGAGCUUUGCAAGGAGCAAAGGAGACUUCAGAGCCCUGGAAAAAGCUGAUAGGGACAUGUCCAUGCCUAGCUUCUUCAUACCACGUCAUUUUGAGGACAGGGUCCAUUUGGAAGUUGUGUUGGAAUGAGAUUCCAUUUGAGCCAUGCCAGAAGGCAUUUUGAUUAUUCUCUUGGCACCGGUGACACAGAAUCCACUGCCUCAGAGUCUCUCUUCCAGUUCCUAUUCUCACUGUAUAGAGGAACAUUUACUUGCUGAAGAUCUGAAACAGAGGCCAUGCAACCUAAGAAACACAGCACAGAGUGAUUAGUGCAACUCUCAUAUCUCACCAGGGAAGCUUCUUUAUGCAAAUGCAAAUGAUAGUUAAUACAGAUUCACAGUUGGUGAAAAUGCAGAGAAUUGACCAUGGAGUGUUAUGCCUUAAAGGAACUAUUUGGAUCACAACUCAUCUUCCAAAGGCUCAGGAACAGACUUUGAGUCUUGUAGAGUUGAAGACAUUUCCUUCUUUUCCUGCUUUCCUCACCUGCAUCAGGACAGUGGAGAGAUGCUUGCCCUUAGCUGGGCUCCCUUGAGACGCAGGGAACUGCCAGUCCAGGUUCACUCCAUCAAACCCAUACUGGUGCAGGAAUUUGAUGGCUGAGUUAAUGAAAGUCUGUCAGUUGUGAGGAGUGGAGACCAUGGCACUGAACCUGAGGGAGACCAAAAGAAGGCAGGGAAAUUGUCUCCUGUUGUGGCAUCUCCAGGAUUUGACAUUGACUCAGGAUAAUGAGGCACCCGAGAAUCAAUGGGAAUGACCUUAACUGUGACUCACAACAUUGGGGAUACGGAUCCUGAAGAGGUCACCUCCUGUAGCCAAGCAGGAACUCCAG
rnacentral:sRNA from 1 species